rnacentral:rRNA from 1 species
GACGUAGGGGGCGAGCGUUGUCCGGAUUCAUUGGGCGUAAAGCGCGCGUAGGCGGCCCGGUAAGUCGGGUGUGAAAUCCUGGGGCUCAACCCCAGGACUGCACUCGAUACUGUCGGGCUAGAGGUAGGUAGGGGAGAUCGGAAUUCCUGGUGUAGCGGUGAAAUGCGCAGAUAUCAGGAGGAACACCGGUGGCGAAGGCGGAUCUCUGGGCCUUACCUGACGCUCAGGCGCGAAAGCUAGGGGAGCGAACAGG